CCUACGAGGUGCUGCAGUGAGGAAUAUUGGUCAAUGGACGAGAGUCUGAACCAGCCAAGUAGCGUGAAGGAGGAAUGCACAAUGGGUCGUAAACUUCUUUUAUAUGGGAAUAAAAAGUUCAACGUGUGGCAGUUUGUGUGUACCAUAUGAAAAAGGAUCGGCUAACUCCUUGCCAGCAGCCGCGGUAAUACGGAGGAUCCGAGCGUUCUCCGGAUUUAUUGGGUUUAAAGGGUGCGGAGUUGGAUUGUUAAGUCAGUUGGUAAAGUUUGCGGUGCAACCGUAAAAUUGAAGUUGAAACUGGCAGUCUUGAGUACAGUAGAGGUGUGCGGAAUUCGUGGUGUAGCGGUGAAAUGCUUAGAUAUCACGAAGAACUCCGAUUGCGAAGGCAGCACACUGGAUUGACACUGACACUGAGGCUCGAAAGUGUGGGUAUCAAACAGGAUUAGAUACCCCAGUAGUC
rnacentral:rRNA from 1 species